UAUUUAAGUAUACCUUCCUAAGAAACCAGAGGCCUUUCUCCUGGGUAUAGUCGGCCAAAUGGUGUUUAAAAAGGAUAGAACUUUCUUUAUGUAUGCAACAACAGCAGCAAGAAUACUCAUCGCAAAGUAUUGGAAGACACAAGAACUUCCCACGCUGGAGGAAUGGCAGAUGAAACUUAUGGACUAUAUGGAACUGGCUGAAAUGACUGGUAGAAUCCGUGACCAGGGAGAAGAGUCGAUGGAGGAAGACUGGAAGAAAUUCAAAGACUAUCUUCAGAAACACUGCAAAAUUAAGGAAUGUUAGAGUGAUGUUGGACUGAAAACAAGUGGUUUCCAGCUGCACAGGUUAAAGUUAUGGAAAUUUGAUAUUAAAAGGGAAAACUUUAAAGUUAUAUGAUAUUAAGACUAAGGACUAGGUUUAAAAAAAAUUGAAGUUAUAUAUUUUAACAUUUUACUAAAUUAAAGAUUGGGAUUAAAAAAAGUGGAAAAGAAACUGCUGAACAAACAAUGUGGACUGGAAUACAAAGGAGGGAGGUUUGAGGAAGUCUAGAAAAUAAGUCACGUAAAAUUGGAAAUGGAAAAGAGAGUUUGUUUUUAAUUGUUGUGUUUUGUGUUUUUAUUGUUAAGUUUUGUAUUAUUUUUAUGUGAGUUUUUCUGUUUUUUUUGUUUUAUGUUGUUUUAAACUUUAAUAAAAAUUAUUAAAAAAAAA